rnacentral:rRNA from 1 species
UAUAUUACUUGCUCAACUACUAAUAUUAAAUAACAUAUAAAAUAAAAUCUAAUAAACAAACAAAGCUCAACAAACCCCUUAUCAUUUAAAACUUGUAAAAUAAUAACUAAAUAAAUAAAAAGAAAGAAUAAAUCUCUGUACCUUUUGCAUCAUGGUUUAACUAUUUCAACACUAAUGUAACUUUCCCGAACUCGAAGUAAGCUGGAAUAUAUCCGCUAAGCGCUCAUAGCCGACUGUGGCACUAGUCCCUAAAGAAUAUAUUUCAGAGGCUACAUACCACGCACUCGAAUAUAGCUGGUUGUUUGCAAAACUAUUUAAGUAGAAUAAAGAGAACAAAUAAAGAUUAACUGAAUCUCUUAUAUUAAUUAAUAGGGGAUAAGCUCUAUUAAAAAAUCAAUUUUAAAACUACAUUAUUAAACUAGUAGGCCUAACAUUAGCCAUCAAAUAAAAGAUUUUUACAAAUAACAAAAAAAAAAAAAAAUAUUAAUUUAAAAAAAAAUGAUACUAAUAGCAAACUACUCUCUAAAACAUUAAGAGAAAAAAUUAUGUUAAAAUAAGUAUUUCAUUAACUAAUAAUAUUCAAUCUCAAUACUCAAUUUCCAUAGAAAGAACUCGGCAAAUCUCCGCUCCGACUGUUUAACAAAAACAUUGCCUCUUGACGACAACCACAAUAAGAGGUACAUCCUGCCCAGUGAAAUAAUUUUUAAACGGCCGCGGUACCCUAACCGUGCUAAGGUAGCAUAAUCAUUUGCCUCCUAAUUAGAGGCUAGUAUGAAUGGACAAACGAGGGCUAAGCUGUUUCCUAUGGAGAAAUAAAAGUUUAUCUCUGGGUGAAAAAGCCCAGAUAAUAUUAAAAGACAAAAAGACCCUGCAGAGCUUUAUACUAAAAAAUAUCUUCAAUUAAUAUGUAUUUUGUUGGGGCGACAAAGGAUUAAAAAAAACAUCCUUAAUACCUAUGGACAACACUCCUCUCACAAGAUCCUUAUUUAAGAUCAAAGACAAAAGCUACCUCAGGGAUAACAGGCUUAUCUUUCUCGAGAGCUCAUAUCGACAGAAAGCUUUGGCACCUCGAUGUUGGCUUAGGGUCCCUGAUGGUGCAGCAGCCAUCAAUGGUAGGUUUGUUCAACCUUUAAAACCCUACAUGAGCUGAGUUCAGACCGGCGCAAGCCAGGUCAGAUUCUAUCUUUAAUACAAACUGUAGAUCGGUAGUACGAAAGGAUCCUGAUUCUAUAAAUAAUUUACUACUAAAGAAACCAUAUAAUUCACUUAUUAAAUAUUAUAAUU